GCGUCUCGUUUUCAGGGGUUUUGGGCCAACUCCAAGGAUGAACGGCGGCGGCGGUUUAGUCUCGGCUUGCUAGCGAGAUUUAGAGCACGUCUAGGGCAACCCGAGGCCAAUUGGAUGGGGAAAAGAGAUCGGGGAAAGGGUCGCGGAUCUUAUAGGGUGCAUGGUUUGGCUCCAGAGCAAGUAAAUCCCGGGAAGGUCGGGAUUUGGCAACCGGGAUGGAGUCCGGUUUGCUGCCGGCUCAAGGUAGAAGAAAGGAAGGUGCUACUGACGAGCGGGCCCCGAUUGUCAAUGACUCAAGGUGCGGGGUCCACGCGUCAGGGAAAGAAAGGGGAGGGGAAGAGAAGCGUGCGUUCGCACGGCUGGCUUGGGCCGCGUACGCGCGCUGGGCCGAGUGGACGCUGGGCCGAAACUGCGAGAGGGAGAAGGAGGCGCGGGGCUGGAAAGGAUGGGGUGGGCCUUCGGGCCAGAAAGCAGAGGGAGAAUUUUUUUUCUUUUGUUUGUUUCUUUUUGUUUCCUUUUUUUUAUUUCAAAGCCAUUUCAAAAACAAAUUUGAAAAUAUUUUAACUUUGAUCAAAGUCACACAGUACAAAAAUAUAAAUGAUCUAGCAUGAGUGCGCAUACAUGUUACUAAAUUCUAUGAUAAGUUUUAAUUUAAUGACAAAUAUUAUUUUUCCUAUAUUUUCAUGAGCACAAAAACAAUAAAUUAAAUUGUUUUUCACCUAUUUCAAAAUGAGCAAAAUUUUGGGUGUUACAAAUCUAACCCCCUUAAAAUGAAUCUCGUCCUCGAGAUUCGAAAGAGACACAGAUCCGCUUAGAGAAAACAUAAUAAAGAUCUUGAUAACUCUUUCAACUUUUACAACUUGCAUACCAAAGAUAAACUCAAAUUUUCCACAGAGUGUCUAUUAUUCAUAAACCGAUCACUGUCCAUCUUGACUACCAACUUUUUGGCUUACAACUCAAAGACAUAAUAACUUAGCAUGGAUAUGCCUCCUCAGGUAGGAGUGGUCCACCUUGAUACUCAAUUCUUUUCCCUGAUGGUGCGGUUAAGAAAAUUUUCCACUGGGUAGCAUAGAUCACUGCCUUGUGUGCACAUAACCAUCCAUUGCCAAGAACCAAAGGAAUAUUGAGUGACUCUAGCACAAUGAGGUUUACAGUGAAGUUUUCCUUCUUUAUGACAAGAUUAAUAUUUGAGCAAACCUGAUCUGCCUGUAUUUCUCCCAUUGGGGUUUGAACUAACAAAGGCUUUCUCGUCGGACACUUCACCCGUUCGAUUGUCUUUACCAGGUUGGCGGAUAUGAAAGAGUGCGAAGCACUUCAGUCAAACAUAGCAAAAACUAGCACUGAGUCCACUUGAAUAUAGCCUCCCACCACUUUAGUGGCUCCUUGAAUGUUAUGCCUAUCCACAUUGUUCAGUCUUCCAUUGAUAUAAUUUCGCUGUACUUUAUUUCCGAGAGCAGGCUUCUUACGAGCUUUCCUUUUACGCUUCCGCCGUUGUGGAUUUUGAUUUGAUUCAUUGUCAACUUGCUCUUCCAUAUUAUUAUUUUGAUAACACUCAGCUUUGUCAUACUCAUAGCAUCUUUCUUCAAAAUCAAGAUGAUCAUAUUCUUCCCACCUAUCCAUGAGAGGCGUCAUAUUAUGCUCCGAAUCCAUGGGACACUACACUCCCUGUCAUCAAGUGACCAACGUCAGAAACAUGGCAAGGGUAGAUGAUCAUAAUCAGAGGAUACUCAAGACGACAAUUAUCACUUCAAGAUAGUUUAAAUAUGCAUCAUCCAGUGAUAUCAAGGUACUACCCCCCUUAAAAUGAGAUUGAUUGGGGAACACUAGGGACUACUUCUCCUAUCCUUUUUAGACGCUACACAUCAUAUAGUCUUUUAAAUUCGCUGUACUGAGUCUCUUGAUCCAACAUUAUCCAAUUCUUCUCCAUGUAACCCCUUUAUUUGGGCUACCCCCCCUUAGUAAAAGUCAUCUAGGGGGCACAGGAUUGGUAGCUUGCAUGUUUUCCCGGCAGGUUAACUAACAUUGAGAACCUCUGACAUCCCAAAGAACUUAUGUGUAAGGGGAGAACAAACAGGUAUCCUGAAUUUUUCUCAUGAUAUGAAAACACCAGCGUAGUAAAAUACAUAUAACUCUUAUUCUGUCAAUCCAACAGAGUUAUAGCUUAUACCGUUAGAAAACUUAUGAAAUUCUCUACCACUUUCAUGUAGAAGACCUCCUUAGAUUCUGUCUUUAAGCUUAGGUAAAACAACCAAACAUAAUAUCCUUCCUGAUAUAGUCUCAGCAAAGGUGCUGUAACUUCCAAAACUUAUAUCUCGAGCUACUUAACUCAUCUGGAGACGAUCCUUACAUUUUUUAAAAGCUUAGGAAAUCCUCUACAACUUUUGUAUACGAUGUUUUCCCAGAUUCUGUCUUUAACUUGGCUGAGAAUAGGAAAUGUCAGAUCUGUCCAGAUUUUGAAACAGAACAGAAACAUCCAAUUGAAAAUAUCAUAUCUCAGGUUCUACUUAUCCAAAUAAGUCCCAGCUUAUACUGUUGGAAAUAUUAGAAAAUUUUCUACAACCUUUCUAUAGAACACUUUUCCAAAUUCUAUAGUUAUAUUUGUCUUACACAUUCAGCAACCAAAACUGGUCCAGAUUCUUGACAGCACAUCUGUAUCAUCUUGUGAUUUUUGUAACUUCCAAUCCAUAAUAGCUAUUAGGGUGAUUCUUGCGGUCAGGGAAAGAUCUUGAAGUCUGUUUGUUCCCAGAAAAAUUUGAUAAACUUUGCAUGAUCAGAACUUGGGAUACACCGACAUUAUGGCAGACUGCUCCAAAAUCAGCAAGGGAUGGAAACAUGAGAUAUCCGAACCCAACUACUUAUUUCAUUAAUCCUUAUACCUUCGAUCUAUAAACUAAAUGAAAUUGUGAAGAAACUCACAAAAUCAUUACACUCAUUACAAAGAUCCAAAUCAAACAUAAACAUAAUAACAAGCAAUUAAGCAUUAAAGGUUCACAAGGCACACAAACUCAACUUUCACCACUAGCGUUUUUAUUACACAAGGGGACACAAACUCCUAAAUUUUAGGCUCGGUGUGGCUACUUUCAUGAUGCAUCAGUUGCUUCUUUUGUGGACAAGAGCUUAUAUAAUGUCCUUCUUGUUGACAAUGAAAACACCUUCUCUUAGCUGGAUCCUUUGUGAUGUUAUUUUCCACUGAAGUGUUGUUCGGUGUGUCAUCAACUCGCUGACUCUGAUGGUUUAUCUUUGUAUGAUUAGAUUUCUUCCUAUAUUGCUUGAUCCUUUGAGGUUGAAACUCUUUAUAAGUGAUUGUCCAUCCAUCUAUGCAUACCUCAUGAGCAGUGGGAUUAGCUUGGGGAAUUUGUUCAUCUCCAAGGUUUGGGUUUUCCUGACGAGAAUUUGAAGCUACAUGUGACAUCUUGGGAUUUGGGUGUUGAUCACUUCCCAAUGUCGGUUCUAGUGCUUUUGCCUUCCUCUUCUUAUCCUCAUUAGUCACACAGGUUGGUUUUGUCUUAACUUCCUUUUUAGAUGACAUAUUCCGAAGACAAGGAAGACCAUAAUGCUCACAACAGUGACAUUGAUCCUGAUAUCCUGAUGUAUUACUCCCAACGCUUCCAUGAUUUCUCAUAUUUUUUCAAGCUUCUGCUACUUGUCUCCUCACGGGUCCUGAGAUACAUUGUUGAGAGUUCUUAUUCUGAGUUAUUCCUUCCACUACUUGUGUUUGCAUGGCUAGAAGCUUCUCCAUGUCGAAUGCUUUUACGGUUGGCAAAUCUGGGUGCUUUUGUUCGUUCUUGUCAAAGAUCUUCUCGUUUUGAUCCAUCUAAAGAGACAAAGAGAGAGGAUUUAGAAUAGAGACAAGAUUUUAUAAAAGAACUGGGCAAGAGGUAAGCAUAACUUUUAGCAACUAUCAAGGUCAAGGCGAAAGCAAGAGGUAAACAAAGAUAGAAGCAUGCUAAAACGUCGAGUUCUAACUAGGCUUGCGUCCUACAGUCAGCAUUGCUUUGAUACCACUUUGUAAUACCCGAUUUUAAGGACAAAACCAGAUAUGCACUAUAUAUGAGUUUUAGAAAUCAAAUCUCACAUAUAGCUACAAAUAAGGGGUAAUAUCAAAAGACAAUGCAUAAAUUAUAUAACAUACUUAGUAUAAAAGAGAUAACCUUUAGUAACAAACAGCGGAUAGAUAACUCCAACUUCGGUUAUUAACUCCACUCUACAAGAUCCAACUGACUAGUUGAUCACAAGCCCAAAACUUCUCCUGAGGUGUGGGGGAAAUUGCAAGAGUGAGCACAUAUCGUACUCAACAAGUAUAACCAGGGGUUCAUGAGGCUCAAAUAGCGGACACUGGUUUGACUGCAUUUAGCUUUUAUAUGUAAAUAGCAUGUUUAAUCAUUGGAUGGCAAAUAUCAAGGUAGCAUAAUUAAUCCCAUAAUUACAUGAUCAAAUGUAUACAAGAAUUAUGAAUAACACAUAUAAACAACAUAAUAAACCAUCCUUUAUUAUCAUUAAUCAUGUUCAUCAGUGUUCAUCUAUUCUGUCAGUUUUCCGGGCCGCCCGUAUGCGUGGGCAUGGCUAGUAUACCAGAUUUAACACUCUGCAGAGGUUGUACAUCUUUACCCAUGAGUCAUGAUUUACCCUUUCGCCCGAGGUAGCUAGUCUCUUAACCCCCUUCCUAGGGAGGUCGGCAGGGAUCACUAUGAAGUCUUUCAAAGGUUCGUCUAACAAGUUAGAACCGCUUGGUUUCAUUAGUCAGUCCAUGUGAUUCACUCGCAGGAAUCCACGGUCUGCUAUUCCCCAAUUACGCCACAACGGGUAACCGCUAACGAGCUAGAAAAGUUACUCAUACUUGACUAAAGCCCAUAUAGCCCUCAUGGUUGUACGAGUUGUCCCAGCUUUUGCCAAGGGAUAAGUCCUUAUGGAGGGUCAAGAUCAAUCCAGCAAAAGCCAGAGUUCUUUCCACCCUUUAUGUUCAAAUUGCUAGAAAGCUUAUUUUAUUGUUUAUUGUAUAUCCAAACAUUCAUGUUAUAAGAUCAUGGAUUAUUAAUCAAGCACUAGCAAGAACUACCCAAAUGCAUAUCCAAAAUAGGUAACAAGGAAUUUAGGAUAACAAUCAUCUAUGAUUUUGCUAAGGUCAUCAAGGUGGACACAUGCAUAUGAUAUAUUGUAUUAAUUGUGUAUAGGUAAAAAGGAUAAUCCCAUGUUAUACUUGCCUUGAUCAAAGCUCUCCUGAGCCUGCUGGUCUUCAAAGGCUUGGUCUUGCUUACCAACGUACGGCUCACCGUCUAAUCCCGAUCAUCAAUCAACAACACGCAAUUCAAUGUAGACAAUCAUACACGAAGCAAACAAGCUAUAAUUAGAACAAUACACCAAACAGUGGUAAAACAAAUAUAAAAGUUUAUCAAAAUAUUCUAUGCAGCGCUACAAUCACAUAAACGUAAAGUUCACGAAAAUCGGAAUUAAAACGUGGAAGUUAUAGAUUUUCCAAGAUUUCCUAUAGAUAAAUAAUUAAUUAAAUAUUACUACAAAAAUAAAAAGUUUCAAAACAGUGGAAUAAUACUUCUAUCAUGUAGAGCUCAUAAUUACGAACCUAACGCAAUUUCAAUGGGUCGAAACGGAUUUGAAACGAGCAUUUUAUGACUUAAAGAAACUCAGUGGCAUUUUUGUAAAUAUUGAAAACGUAUUUUGGGAUGACCCGAAACCGUUUACGUUUUUAAAAGAAGAAAACAUACUUCCGCAAAGUCGCUUUAGGACUGCGGGUUUACUCUAAAAAAAACAGGGGCUCUUUAGCAAAUUAGCCAUCGAAGGGGUAUGCUUUAUUUUAGUCCGUUGGAUCUUGAUUGGAUGGUAGAGAUUAGAUCCAGAGAGAGGAGAGCGCCGGCCGGUCAGAGCUGGGAGGGAACACGGCGGCGCCAUAGCCAGUGCUCGCCGGAGUUGGGUGAUACGGCGUUCCAGUGUGCCAAACUCGAAUUCAAAAGCAUGGGGAGCAAGAGGAGCUUGUUCCGAACUCACCUAGAGGCAAAACGAUGGGCGCGCAAGGCUCGGAGGUGGCCGGCGUCGCGAUUCGGCGGACGGGAAGCUCCUGCAUGAGUCCGGCACCAAGAGGUGAACAAAAGAGAGCGAGAAAACAGGAGAGAGUACUGCGGUUAUGUUCAAGACCUCAAAGAGAAGUCCGGCGUCUCGUUUUCAGGGGUUUUGGGCCAACUCCAAGGAUGAACGGCGGCGGCGGUUUAGUCUCGGCUUGCUAGCGAGAUUUAGAGCACGUCUAGGGCAACCCGAGGCCAAUUGGAUGGGGAAAAGAGAUCGGGGAAAGGGUCGCGGAUCUUAUAGGGUGCAUGGUUUGGCUCCAGAGCAAGUAAAUCCCGGGAAGGUCGGGAUUUGGCAACCGGGAUGGAGUCCGGUUUGCUGCCGGCUCAAGGUAGAAGAAAGGAAGGUGCUACUGACGAGCGGGCCCCGAUUGUCAAUGACUCAAGGUGCGGGGUCCACGCGUCAGGGAAAGAAAGGGGAGGGGAAGAGAAGCGUGCGUUCGCACGGCUGGCUUGGGCCGCGUCCGCGCGCUGGGCCGAGUGGACGCUGGGCCGAAACUGCGAGAGGGAGAAGGGGGCGCGGGGCUGGAAAGGAUGGGGUGGGCCUUCGGGCCAGAAAGCAGAGGGAGAAUUUUUUUUCUUUUGUUUGUUUUCUUUUUGUUUCCUUUUUUUUAUUUCAAAGCCAUUUCAAAAACAAAUUUGAAAAUAUUUUAACUUUGAUCAAAGUCACACAGUACAAAAAUAUAAAUGAUCCAGCAUGAGUGCGCAUACAUGUUACUAAAUUAUAUGAUAAGUUUUAUUUUAAUGACAAAUAUUAUUUUUCCUAUAUUUUCAUGAGCACAAAAACAAUAAAUUAAAUUGUUUUUCACCUAUUUCAAAAUGAGCAAAAUUUUGGGUGUUACACCAUUGCACGCUACCGAAGCAGGCUCUCCGUCUAUGCGUCCUGAACCUGAAGAUAGAGACCCCAGCUAGACCUAUUUAGUUUGAGACCUGAAAGCCCACACACCUAUCGGAACUUUCGACAGUCAGAACUCCCAAAAAUAAAGCAUCUUUCUGGGGCACAUCUCCUUCUUCCGGACUCUGAAUUAGAUGUUCCAUAUAUGUUUUUUUUGACCGUCUCGACCAGAGAAACGCAAUGGUAAAAGCCAUUCCAUGUUAUGGCAACUUCACAAAAGGAAUAAUUUUGUUUGUCAACAAGGAGUUUUCUUUCUUCCUAUCUCUAUUGCGUUCGAAGAAAUUUUUUACCUGACCUGCACCAUCGUCUUAAAAGUAGCUGCACCAAAAAAAUCCAGACGAA
rnacentral:lncRNA from 1 species